CCCCCCCCCCCCCCCCCCCCCCCCCCCCCCCCCCCCCCCCCCCUUCUAUUUGGACUGAUGGAGGUGCAUUCCAAUGCCUGUGACCUGUGCAGCUAAAGGCGUGGUUGCCAAUGAAGGAACAACUGCAGUACUGAGACGGCUCCAACACAAAUGUGACAUUUGGGCAAAAUGAUUCUCCAUCAACGUGGAUCAAGAAGUUAGCAAUUCACAAACGUCUGUGAGGACAGGAAGAGGCGUAGAGGUAACAUUCUACAAAUGUGACUUAUUGGUGUUCCAGGGAUGAGUGUAGCAUCAGGGAGAUGGCAUCAGCCAUGGACCUGUUGCAGCAGUAGGCGAACUGCAGUGGGUCAAUGCUGAUUGGUAGACUGGAUGCAUUCCAGAGCCAGCCUCCAAAAGCAUGGAUGGAUGGAUGUCUGCUGUACGGUGGUCAUUAAGGCAUGAGAUCUUGCUUUUCUUUGUCAUUGGGAUGAUAGUGGUCUUCCUGAAGCAGGUGGGAACGCAGUAGGGAGAGAUGAAAGAAAUCCAAGAAUACUCCCAAAUAUGGUCCACGCAGUUUCUAAGGAUACAGCCAGUUGCUUUCACCCUCAGGAAGGCCAAUCUAACUUCAACAACAUUGACCAUGGGAAGAGGCAUAGUUGAGUCUGAUUGGAUAGAUGUCAUCACUCAUCACCCUGUUGACCUUCUGCUCAAAGGGAGCAUAGAAAACAUUAUAUUCAUCAGGUGGGGCCGCAGUAUCACCAGUGAUGUUGCCUGAUGUAACUCUGUAGCUAGUUUCGGUAUUCUGACCUUGCCACAUUCUGCAGGUAUCUGAAUUAUUAUAUUGGGACUCAAGUUUGUCCUGGUAUUGUCUCUUGACAUCCUUGAUGACUUAGUGAAAAUUAUAUCGAGCUUUCUUGUACUGCU